GACGUAGGGGGCAAGCGUUGUCCGGAAGUAUUGGGCGUAAAGAGCUCGUAGGCGGUUUGUCGCGUCUGCUGUGAAAACUCGGGGCUUAACCCCGGGCCUGCAGUGGGUACGGGCAGACUAGAGUGCGGUAGGGGAGACUGGAAUUCCUGGUGUAGCGGUGAAAUGCGCAGAUAUCAGGAGGAACACCGAUGGCGAAGGCAGGUCUCUGGGCCGAUACUGACGCUGAGGAGCGAAAGCGUGGGGAGCGAACAGG
rnacentral:rRNA from 1 species